rnacentral:rRNA from 1 species
AUUGAACGCUGGCGGCAUGCCUUACACAUGCAAGUCGAACGGCAGCACGGGAGCAAUCCUGGUGGCGAGUGGCGAACGGGUGAGUAAUAUAUCGGAACGUGCCCAGUCGUGGGGAUAACGUAGCGAAAGCUACGCUAAUACCGCAUACGAUCUAUGGAUGAAAGCGGGGGAUCGCAAGACCUCGCGCGAUUGGAGCGGCCGAUAUCAGAUUAGGUAGUUGGUGAGGUAAAGGCUCACCAAGCCGACGAUCUGUAGCUGGUCUGAGAGGACGACCAGCCACACUGGGACUGAGACACGGCCCAGACUCCUACGGAGGCAGCAGUGGGGAAUCUUAGACAAUGGNGCAAGCCUGAUCUAGCCAUGCCGCGUGAGCGAU